GCCAGUUCCUAAAGAACUUUUCAGUAAAUGCAUCAACGCUCCGGAAAACCUGGAAGAAUUUUUGUGAAACCUUAAACAACCUAAACAUGGCGGAAUCCCGUGAAGGUGGUGUCCUGGCUGUUCACUUCCAGUACAACUGAUUCCCGUCUCGUUCUCUGCUACUAUCUCAUGCGAAUAGAUGACAAUUAGCAAGACAAUGCCAAUUAUUCGUGGAACGUUACCUACAUAGAUCAAUGCUUGAGCAGUGCGCACAAUAAACUCAGAUGAACUGGUACACAAAGAAUAUUUCUGGCUCUCUUUAACAUCGAAGAUUUCGUACUUGAAGGAACAAUAUAGUGAAAUAGGAAACAACAGAGACGCUGUGCCACUGCAAUUCGGUUGAGCUAUUGAUUCCCCUAGGACGUUGCUCUCCAUCAUAGGCUUUAAUCUUACGGUCCUCCUUUGGUGGUCGGUGCAAGGAUCUGAACCAGAAAAAUAUGCGCUAUGUGCUGACAUUAGAUAUACUUACCUGCUUUUGAGGGCGGUGUGGUCGGGAGUGGCCGGUCGGUGGGAGCAGUGGGUGGAGUCACACGCCGAUUUUGUCGUAUUCUAUGUUUGUCGUCAAGUAGAGCCCUACCGAGACGCUUGAGUCUUCUUGAGGCUUCCUCGUCGAACUCGUAGUCGACGGCUUCUCGGGCCGAGGGGUUGGGGUAUCUUUCAGCUUUCUUGAAGGUGCGAAGUGCAAUUUCCUGCAGAAAUUGCUUUAAGUUCGGAAUGUUGGCCUCCCGAAGAAUCUGGUUGUUUCUGACGAACCAGGGAGCCCUGAAAACUUGUCGGAGAAUUUUUGUCUGGAGGACUUCCAGACGAUGAAAUUUGGUUUUGGAAGACUCGUAACUCCAGACUACUGAGGCAUAAGAAAUUGUGGGGCGAAUGAUUGUUCCAUAUGGAAGAAGUUUGUUCUUGAUCGACAUUGAUGAACACUGACCACGCAACUACUAUAGUGUUCCUUAGCAUUUUUGUUAUAUUUUUGUUUUAUAUUUUUUAAUGUUUGUUUUUUUAUUCUUUCAAAG